CCUACGGGCGGCAGCAGUGAGGAAUAUUGGUCAAUGGACGAGAGUCUGAACCAGCCAAGUAGCGUGAAGGAUGACUGCCCUAUGGGUUGUAAACUUCUUUUAUAAAGGAAUAAAACGAGGCACGUGUGCCUUUUUGCAUGUACUUUAUGAAUAAGGAUCGGCUAACUCCGUGCCAGCAGCCGCGGUAAUACGAAGGAUCCGAGCGUUAUCCGGAUUUAUUGGGUUUAAAGGGAGCGUAGAUGGGUUGUUAAGUCAGUUGUGAAAGUUUGCGGCUCAACCGUAAAAUUGCAAUUGAUACUGGCAGUCGUGAGUACAGUUGAGGUAGGCGGAAUUCGUGGUGUAGCGGUGAAAUGCUUAGAUAUCAUGAAGAACCCCGAUUGCGAAGGCAGCUUACUAAACUGUGACUGACAUUGAUGCUCGAAAGUGUGGGUAUCAAACAGGAUUAGAUACCCCUGUAGUC
rnacentral:rRNA from 1 species